AUUGAACGCUGGCGGCAGGCCUAACACAUGCAAGUCGAGCGGAUGAAGGGAGCUUGCUCCUGGAUUCAGCGGCGGACGGGUGAGUAAUGCAUAGGAAUCUGCCUGGCAGUGGGGGAUGAGGUCAGGUAACGGGAGCUAAUACCGCAUACGUCCUGAGGGAGAAACUGGGGGAUCUUUGGACCUCACGCUAUCUGCUGUGCCUAGGACGGAGUAGCUAGUUGGUGGGGUAAAGGCGUACCAAGGCGACGAUCCGUAACUGGCCUGAGUGGAUGAUCAGUCACACUGGAACUGAGACACGGUCCAGACUCCUACGGGAGGCAGCAGUAGGGAAUAUUGGACAAUAGGCGAAAGCCUGAUGCAGCAACGCCGCGUGUGUGAAGAAGGUCUUCGGAUUGUAAAGCACUUUUAUUAGGGAGGAACAACAGUAUAUUAAUACCUUGCUGUUUUGACGGUACCUACAGAAUAAGCACCGGCUAACUACGUG
rnacentral:rRNA from 1 species